AUACUUUCUCCUGGGGACACAUCUUGUUAAGGACAGCAUAUUCUGGAAAACUUCAAAAUGGUUCCUUUUUCCAGCAGAAGCUGAAAGUGUGAGGGAAGUUCUCUCAUUAUUCGUUGUGAGAACCUGCUAAAACUCCAAGAGGUCAAACUCCAACUAUGCUUUGGACCCUCUGGAGUUUUUAAUUCUCAGAGUUGUCCACAUUGAGCCUCCAGAAAUUCAUCAAUGGCAGUAGCUGUACGCCAGCGCUAGCUUUCCAUUAACAUUUCAGCUUGUGGAUUUCUGCUCAGGGGAAAUAUUUUCCUAUUGCACUUAGCCUAGCUGGGAUGCCGCUUCAGAAAAUUUCCCUGGAAACUUCCUUUCACAGUUCCAGUAUGGACUCUGAAGUUGAAUUCCUCAAGCUCAGAUCCUGAUCUUCACUUCGUUUUGUGAUUUUGAACUCAACCUGAAACAUUGGUUCUUUCCGGAUAUCAAGCCUGCCAGCCUUGGAGUUGAUGGCUUAUUGACUCGAUAUGCAGAUCUUGGGACUCGUCAGGAGACAGACACACACAGACACACACACCCUGUUCAGUCUGUGUCUCUGAAGAACACUAAUACAGUAGCCAAAAGAGCUUUCAUAAAAUGGCAAGGUUGGAAGUGUGUUAUUUAAAGUUACAGUAAUCAAUAGUAUGCGGUACUGGUAUAAAGAUAGAAAACUAAAUCAAUAUAGACUUCAAAACUAGACCUCAUAGUUCAGAAUAUAGAGUUCACAACUAAAUCCAUAUAUAUAUGGUCAGCUUACAUUUGUCAAAAGCACAAAUGCACUUUGGUAGACAACAAAUAGUCUUUUCAACAAACCGUGCACAACCCAUGACUAUGUAACUUCUAGAACAAAAUAUAAUAGGAAAUUUUGUGAUCUUUUUAAGGCAAAACAUUUCCUUCGUGUGACAUAAAACCCAUAAAUCACUAAAAGAAAAUGGAUAAAUUGUUCUUCAAAAAUAUUAAGAGCUUUUGCUCCUCAAAAUAUACUGUUAAGAAAAUGAAAGGCAAACUACAGAAUUGGAGAGAAUAUUUGCAAGUAUUAAGUCUGAUAAAAUAUUGGGUUGGCCAAAAAGUUUGUUUAGAUUUUUUCUGUACAAUGUUGCAGAAAAAAACAAAUAAGCUUUAUGGCCAGCUCAAUACAUAUAUUCAUGAUAUAUGAAGAUUUCUGAAAAUUCAACUAUAAGAAAGCAAAAGGCAAUAUUUUAAAUGAGCAGAUGAUUUGUCAGAUACUUUGCCAAAGAUGAUAUACAGAUGACAAAUGAACACCAGAAUAUUUAAAAAUCAGUCAUUAGGAAAUGUCAAUUAUGCCCCAAUGAGGUUUCAUUUUAUGCUAUCAAUGAAAAAAUUUAGUAACAGCCUCUCAGAAAGUUCCAAGAACUGUUCUGCCCAUUAGAGCCUAAAGCGCAGUUAUAUAAAGUUUUGAGAAAAGGGGCUAUACAUUAAGUGACACGUUAUUGACAGCUUACACAAUCCAGGUCUUCACGUACAAAGCGAGUAGUAGGUCAUGGGUCAUUGUGGCCCCUUACAAGAUUAAGCAAGAAGAUUAUCUCCUAAGGAGUCACCUUGUCGAUACUGGAGAAUGUUGUUCUUUAUGGGUGAACAGGUGAACAAGCAUUUCUGCUGAGAUGAAGGCUUGGUCAGUGAACGAUGCAGAUAUACAAGGCAUAGGAGAAGGGAGAGAGGAGGCCAAAGAGCAGGAAAAAAAAAAAAAACACCUUUUAUAUUUAAAUUUUCUUUGAUUUGUCUUUCAUCAGUAUCUGUUAAAAUGGUUUAAGUUCUAAUUAACAACAACAACAACAAAAUACCACAUAUGUGAGGGUAUUGUACAAGCAGAAUGCUCAUACACCUAAAAUAGUAUGAUCGAUUUGGGGUAAGGGAUAAGGUAACAGUUUGGAGCGUCAUAAAAGAUAAACCUGUGAUUACCACAUGACUCUGGCUUUGUAUGACAAGCUGUUUACUCAAGAGGUAUGAAAGAAUGUUUCCACAAGAAGAUUGCUAUGCAAAAUUUCACAGAAUUUAUUUGUAAUAGUUUAGAAUUAUAAACAACAUAGGUUUCCUUCAGCUGAGGAAUGAACAAAAAUGUGCUUUAUAAAUAUGAUGAAAUAAGACCUAAUCAUAAAGUGUCAAAAAAACAUUGGUAUGUGUAACAGUAUGAAUCAAUUUCAAGAUAGUUGAGCUGAGUGAAAGGAGCCAGACCCAUUCUCCCAAAAUAAAGAGAGCGUACUAAUAAUUCUAUUUGUGUAACAUUCUUGGAAAUGUAAACCAAUACAUUAAUAUAAUCACAUAAGGUAGGGCUGUGGGUAACUGAGGACUGGUGUGGAGAGUUUGAUGCAGGUGGAUACAGAGAUGAAGAGUGUCUGGGUGAACAGAGGAAUUACAAAGGGCAUAAGGAAACUUUUGGAGGUGAUGGAUAGCUUCAUUAUCUUGAUGGUGUUAAUGAUGUCAUAUGUUUACUAACACAUCAGACUUACCAAAUUGUGCACAUUAAAUAUGUACAUGUCAACUCUAUUUCAGUAAAGCUUUUAAAAUAAUUUAUGCUUCUUAUAUGACAAAUGAAGUAGAGCAUCCUAAAUGGCUAAUGAAAUAAAGCAUCCCUUAUA